rnacentral:rRNA from 1 species
AGUGAACGCUGGCGGCAGGCCUAACACAUGCAAGUCGAACGGCAGGACAGUAAGAGCUUGCUCUUACGGGUGGCGAGUGGCGGACGGGUGAGGAAUACAUCGGAAUCUACUUUUUCGUGGGGGAUAACGUAGGGAAACUUACGCUAAUACCGCAUACGACGUACGGGUGAAAGCAGGGGAUCUUCGGACCUUGCGCGUUUGAAUGAGCCGAUGUCGGAUUAGCUAGUUGGCGGGGUAAAGGCCCACCAAGGCGACGAUCCGUAGCUGGUCUGAGAGGAUGAUCAGCCACACUGGAACUGAGACACGGUCCAGACUCCUACGGGAGGCAGCAGUGGGGAAUAUUGGACAAUGGGCGCAAGCCUGAUCCAGCCAUGCCGCGUGGGUGAAGAAGGCCUUCGGGUUGUAAAGCCCUUUUGUUGGGAAAGAAAAGCAGCAGGUUAAUACCCCGCUGUUCUGACGGUACCCAAAGAAUAAGCACCGGCUAACCUCGUG